rnacentral:misc_RNA from 1 species
AACGCACAUUGCGCUCGCCAGUAUUCUGGCGAGCAUGCCUGUUCGAGCGUCAUUUCAACCAUCAAGCUCUGCUUGCGUUGGGGAUCCGCGUCUGACGCGGUCCCUCAAAAACAGUUGGCGGGCUCGCUAGUCACACCGAGCGUAGUAACUCUACAUCGCUAUGGUCGUGCGGCGGGUUCUUGCCGUAAAACCCCCAAUUUUUUAAGGUUGACCUCGGAUCAGGUAGGAAUACCCGCUGAACUUAA